rnacentral:rRNA from 1 species
GACGAACGCUGGCGGCGUGCUUAACACAUGCAAGUCGAACGGUAAGGCUCCAGCUUGCUGGGGUACACGAGUGGCGAACGGGUGAGUAACACGUGGGUGACCUGCCCUGCACUUCGGGAUAAGCCUGGGAAACUGGGUCUAAUACCGGAUAGGACCGCACCGUGAGGGUGUGGUGGAAAGUUUUUUCGGUGUGGGAUGGGCCCGCGGCCUAUCAGCUUGUUGGUGGGGUAAUGGCCUACCAAGGCGGCGACGGGUAGCCGGCCUGAGAGGGUGGACGGCCACAUUGGGACUGAGACACGGCCCAGACUCCUACGGGAGGCAGCAGUGGGGAAUAUUGCACAAUGGGCGGAAGCCUGAUGCAGCGACGCCGCGUGGGGGAUGACGGCCUUCGGGUUGUAAACUCCUUUCACUAUCGACGAAGGGUUUCUGACGGUAGAUGGAGAAGAAGCACCGGCUAACUACGUG